CCUUUGUACACACCGCCCGUCGCUACUACCGAUUGAAUGGCUCAGUGAGGCCUUCGGACUGGCCCAGGGAGGUCGGCAACGACCACCCAGGGCCGGAAAGUUGGUCAAACUCGGUCAUUUAGAGGAAGUAAAAGUCGUAACAAGGUCUCCGUAGGUGAACCUGCGGAGGGAUCAUUA
rnacentral:rRNA from 1 species